rnacentral:misc_RNA from 1 species
UUAUGGCAAGGAAUGAAAUGUGUCGUCUUAAAAAAUUUAUCCACUAUCACAAAUAUAGAAUCUUUACCUUCUCUAGACCUAGAUAGCCCCAAAAUAAAGACCAUAAACAAAUCAACUCAUGGUUCACUAGGUACAGGUAAAGGUGUAUAUAAGCCUUGAGGUGAGACUUGGACUUUGCUUUCUUGCAUUUGAUACGUCUAGAGCACAAUCUCUCCACAUCUCUCUUCAUAUG